CAGCGCCCCAAGUGGCAAUCACGUUUAUUGGGCCUAAAGCGUCCGUAGCCGGAUCAGUAAAUCUUCUGUGAAAUCGUCGCGCUCAACGUGACGGCAUGCAGGAGACACUGCUGGUCUCGAGACCGGGAGGAGUCGGAGGUAUGCCGUGGGGACCGGUAAAAUGGGAUAAUCCACGGUAGACCACCAAUGGCGAAGGCAUCUGACCAGAACGGAUCUGACGGUGAGGGACGAAAGCCAGGGGAGCGAACCGGAUUAGAUACCCGAGUAGUCC
rnacentral:rRNA from 1 species